AUUUACUAAAAUACCCUCCUCAUCUUCUGAUUCAACUUAAGAAAGCGUUACACUCAUCUUCUGAGAAAAUUGAGAAAGCGUUACACUGAUUCAACCCUUCCCCGUAUUCCUCCCGUUUUCUCUCUCCUUCGAUCUUCUUCAUCUUCCUCAAAUCCUCUCCUUCCUCUCCUCGAUCUUCUUCAUCUUCUGCAACAUGGGUUUUAGGGUUUCUAGAAAUUUUUUCAUUGGAGGUGAGAUAUUCAAAUUGAAACUUUCGUAAUAAAUAAUCAAAUUUAGGGGUUUAGGAAAGGGGAUUGGAUUAUAGAUAAGAACAAAUUGAAGGUGGAUAAUGGAGGAGAGAGAAGACGAUGGUGGGUGAUUAACCUAGAAAUCCACGAUGGUGGUGAUUAUCCUCCGCCGCCGUCAACGAUAUAUGUGGAUUUUUAGGUUUUCUUAGCUUUUGAUUUCUGGGUUUUCUUAGCUUUUGAUUUAUGGGUUUUUGUUUGACAAUCUAAUACGAAUUGAUAACCGGUAUUUGAUUUGUGUUUUUACUAUGCUCUUGAUUUCGUGGAUGUGAAUGAUGUGUUUCAUUUUUAAUAUCCAGUUGAAGCCCUCAAAAAUGCAGUUGAAGGUUCAUCGGCAAGGCAGGGACAACUUCAGUGCAGAAGAAUAAAGAGAGUGAGGGUGUUGGAGUGGUGAUGAUGAAGAAGAUGAAAAGAGAAAGAGGAGGGUCUAAAUGAAACAAAUUCCAUCUAACGCGGCGUUACCAGUAAUUUGGGUUGAUUUGGAUCAUGAUGGUCGGAUUAGUGGUGCCGAAGCGGUCGCUUUUUUUUCAAGGAUCAAUUCUAAGCAUCCCUUUUGCUGUCUAUGGGCUUGCAGCUUCACGAUAUAACUUAUGUCCAGAAUUGAUUUUAUUAUAUGGAAGCAAGACCAGAAUCCCAGAUGAAGUUAGAAAGACAACAAUCUUGCAUAUAUUCUGGAAAGUUAUGGUGAAAUUCUCCAAGUAUUUAACUGAUGGUGUCUAUCUUGGGGGAUAUACUUUGUUGUCUUAUCAAUGCAAGGGACAGUCUUUGGAAAAAAAUAGACGACGAACAAGCAGCCUCAAGUACUAGAGUUGCAGGAUGGGUCCUUGAUUGCUGGUGAUUUUGAGAUUCUUUGUUAGAGCUAUGACUUGAGAAAGAAUGAAGCAACGUAUCCCUCGAACUCCUGUGCCCACAGUUGUUAGCUUAAAAUUUAAGGGCAUCUUUGUGUUGAAGGCUGCAAGUUCAUUUUACUAGGAUUUUUUUUUUGUUUAUUUGUGUUGUGGAGACUACAGAAUGUUUCAUCCAACGUAAAAUCAUGUAGCUCAUGAAGUUUCGAAGUAUAAUCAUGGUAAAGUAACAACAAAGUGUACAUUUUUUCAUACCUAUUAUUUUUUUAGGUGAUUAAAUGUAAUAAUACUAAUACAAUAUUUAGUUUUUAAAUACCCGCACGCAUCGCGUGCAUAUAA